rnacentral:rRNA from 1 species
GACAGAGGUCCCGAGCGUUGUUCGGAUUUACUGGGCGUAAAGAGCGCGCAGGCGGCUGGUCAAGUCCGAUGUGAAAUCUCCCGGCUUAACUGGGAAACUGCAUCGGAAACUGAUCGGCUUGAAGGUGGGAGAGGGUAGCGGAAUUCCCGGUGUAGUGGUGAAAUGCGUAGAUAUCGGGAGGAACACCAGUGGCGAAGGCGACUACCUGGCCCAUUCUUGACGCUGAGGCGCGAAAGCUAGGGGAGCGAACGGG